rnacentral:rRNA from 1 species
CUAACAAGGAUUCCCCUAGUAACUGCGAGUGAAGCGGGAAAAGCUCAAAUUUGAAAUCUGGCAGUCUUUUUUUUCUUCUUUGGCUGUCCGAGUUGUAAUCUAGAGAAGUGCUUACCUGCGCUGGACCAUGUAUAAGUCUCCUGGAAUGGAGCGUCACAGAGGGUGAGAAUCCCGUCUUUGACAUGGACUGCCAGUGUGUUGUGGUGUGCUCUCAAAGAGUCGAGUUGUUUGGGAAUGCAGCUCUAAAUGGGUGGUAAACUCCAUCUAAAGCUAAAUAUUGGCGAGAGACCGAUAGUGAACAAGUACCGUGAGGGAAAGAUGAAAAGGACUUUGGAAAGAGAGUUAAACAGUAUGUGAAAUUGUUGAAAGGGAAACGCUUGAAGUCAGUUAUGUUGGCUAGGGAUCAACCUAGCUGUUUUUUGCUGGGUGAAUUUCCUAGUCUGACAGGCCAACAUCAGUCUUGACUGCUGGAAAAGAGCAGGGGGAAUGUGGCACCUUUGGGUGUGUUAUAGCCCUUCGUCAUAUGUGGCAGUCGGGACUGAGGGAUGCAGCAUGCCGCGAGGCUGGGUUUCUGACCACGUUCAUGCUUAGGAUGUUGGCUUUUAAUGGCUUCAAUCGACCCGUCUUGAAACACGGACCAAGGAGUCUAACAUGCCUGCGAGUGUUUGGGUGGGGAAAACCCUUGUGCACAAUGAAAGUGAAAGUUGAGAUCCCUGUCAUGGGGAGCAUCGACGCCCGGACCUGAGCUUUUAGCGACGGAUCCGCGGUAGAGCAUGCAUGUUGGGACCCGAAAGAUGGUGAACUAUGCCUGAAUAGGGCAAAGCCAGAGGAAACUCUGGUGGAGGCUCGUAGCGAUUCUGACGUGCAAAUCGAUCGUCAAAUUUGGGUAUAGGGGCGAAAGACUAAUCG